GGCUCAGUGGUCUAGGGGUGUGAUUCGCGCUUCGGGUGCGCGAGGUCCCGGGUUCAAAUCCCGGCUGAGCCC
rnacentral:tRNA from 1 species